rnacentral:rRNA from 1 species
AGUGAACGCUGGCGGCGUGCCUAAUACAUGCAAGUCGAACGAUGAAGUCCUAGCUUGCUAGGAUGGAUUAGUGGCGCACGGGUGAGUAAUAUAUAGUUAAUCUGCCCUACACAGAGGAACAACAGUUGGAAACGACUGCUAAUACCUCAUACUCCUAUUUGACAUAAGUUAAAUAGGGAAAGUCUUUUCGGUGUAGGAUGAGACUAUAUCGUAUCAGCUAGUUGGUAAGGUAAUGGCUUGCCAAGGCUAUGACGCGUAACUGGUCUGAGAGGAUGAUCAGUCACAUUGGAACUGAGACACGGUCCAAACUCCUACGGGAGGCAGCAGUAAGGAAUAUUGCGCAAUGGGGGAAACCCUGACGCAGCAACGCCGCGUGGAGGAUGACACUUUUCGGAGCGUAAACUCCUUUUAUCAGGAAAGAAUAAUGACGGUACCUGAUGAAUAAGCACCGGCUAACUCCGUG